CCUACGGGAGGCAGCAGUAGGGAAUAUUGCUCAAUGGGGGAAACCCUGAAGCAGCAACGCCGCGUGGAGGAUGAAGGUUUUCGGAUUGUAAACUCCUUUUGUUAGAGAAGAUAAUGACGGUAUCUAGCGAAUUAACACCGGCUAACUUCGUUCCAGCAGCCGCGGUAAUACGGAGGGUGCAAGCGUUACUCGGAAUUACUGGGCGUAAAGGGCGCGUAGGCGGGAUAGCAAGUCAGAUGUGAAAUCCUAUGGCUUAACCAUAGAACUGCAUUUGAAACUGUGAUUCUAGAGUAUGGGAGAGGCAGGUGGAAUUCUUGGUGUAGGGGUAAAAUCCGUAGAGAUUGAGAGGAAUACUAAUUGCGAAGGCGACCUGCUAGACCAUAACUGACGCUGAUGCGCGAAAGCGUGGGGAGCAAACAGGAUCAGAUACCCCUGUAGUC
rnacentral:rRNA from 1 species